rnacentral:lncRNA from 1 species
GGAGGACUUCCAUGCCACGUGACGGUGCCCAACUUUGAUGUUUUGUUGAGGCUGCCUGUCUUGGGGCUGAUGCAUCAGGAGUGACACAGCACAGCUGGGGCAUCAUCUGGGUGGCAGGGCUCUAACCUGGGUGCUCUGCACACACAGUGCUCUGGCUACCUCAGCUCUGAGCAGCCGUGGUGGGGGGAGAAGCUGUAAGUGAGGGCCUAUCAAGCACAUUUCCCAUCGCAUCACAGAGGACUUGGAAAUAACCUCAUUUUCCUCAAUUAGGAAGAUGGAGAUUGUAAUGGCUGUACUUUGCUCUCCUCAGACGUCUUUCAUCUGUGCAUCACAAAGUGCUCUGAAAGCAUGAUUAACGAAGCUUCCCAACUCCCCAGACCGGCAGGCGUCCCACUGCCCUCUUCAGUCAAAGCUACAUGGUUGAGGCCAGCUCCCCAGGGAGUUACCAAAGUCUUCUCCUAUUUGCUGGCUGGUUGGAGAAACCAUUGAGGACUUAGAGUGGGGAGAGCCACAAUACAGAAGGAGCCUGGGUUCCUGAAUGAGCACAUGACAGGUGUGUCAUGAGAAACAUCUGAACUGGACUGUGGUGUGAAUAGGAAACAAAUCUUCACUGUGGUAAGCACCAGAGAACCCAUUGGAACUUAAGGCUUAACUGUUAUAGUAGUAACUGGUGUUACUAUAGACACUGC